UACGUAGGUCCCGAGCGUUGUCCGGAUUGAUUGGGCGUAAAGCGAGCGCAGGUGGUUUAUUAAGUCUGGUGUAAAAGGCAGUGGCUCAACCAUUGUGUGCAUUGGAAACUGUUAGACUUGAGUGCAGUAGAGGAGAGUGGAAUUCCAUGUGUAGCGGUGAAAUGCGUAGAUAUAUGGAGGAACACCGGUGGCGAAAGCGGCUCUCUGGACUGUAACUGACACUGAGGCUCGAAAGCGUGGGUAGCAAACAGG
rnacentral:rRNA from 1 species